CCUACGGGAGGCAGCAGUGGGGAAUAUUGCACAAUGGAGGGAACUCUGAUGCAGCGACGCCGCGUGAGUGAAGACGUAAUUCGUUAUGUUAAGCUCUAUCAGCAGGGAAGAAAGUGACGGUACCUGAAAAAGAAUCUCCGGCUAAAUACGUGCUAGCAGCCGCGGUAAUCCGGAUGGAGCAAGCGUUAUCCGGAUUUACUGGGUGUAAAGGGGGAGGAGGGGGCAGAGCAAGGUCGAAGUGAAAACCCAAAGCCCAACUAUGGGAAUGCUUUAGAAACUGCUCAUCUAGAGUGCAGGAGAGGCAAGUGGAAUUCGUAGUGUAGCGGUGAAAUGCAUAGAUAUUAGGAGGAACACCAGUGGCGAAGGCGGCUUGCUGGACUGUAACUGACGCUGAGGCUCGAAAGCGUGGGGAGCAAACAGGAUUAGAUACCCGGGUAGUC
rnacentral:rRNA from 1 species